rnacentral:rRNA from 1 species
UACGGAGGAUCCGAGCGUUAUCCGGAUUUAUUGGGUUUAAAGGGAGCGUAGGUGGAUUGUUAAGUCAGUUGUGAAAGUUUGCGGCUCAACCGUAAAAUUGCAGUUGAAACUGGCAGUCUUGAGUACAGUAGAGGUGGGCGGAAUUCGUGGUGUAGCGGUGAAAUGCUUAGAUAUCACGAAGAACUCCGAUUGCAAAGGCAGCUCACUAGACUGCAACUGACACUGAUGCUCGAAAGUGUGGGUAUCAAACAGG